rnacentral:misc_RNA from 1 species
CGUUUGUACAACUAGGAUUAUUUUGUUUGAAGCGUCGCGUUGCCGCCUGUCAUAACUUGUUGGGGAAGAGAGAUCGCGUCACCGGUAGAUAUAAACUUAGCCAAGGAUUGGAGAUGGCAUUGUCUGCCAUGAGAAACAUGGAUUUUAAGCCAACCGUGCAAGUGCUGCUGGGAUCAUUGCUUGCAUUUCCUUUGACCUACUGUCUCAACAAGACAACUGCCAUGGGAGAUCACCGUCUGAUUUUGUUAGCUGGCGUCAUAACGUUGUUUUCGUUUGUGAUGAUCGCUUAUACCUUUUUCAGGAAGCAUAGACUUAACAAUGAGCCGUUGUUUUACGCAUGGAGCCUGUUUGCCUUCACAUCGUGUGUUGACCUGAUCAUAGGUUUAGAGUUGGAUGGCCACAUUUCUGGAUUUAUGGAGUUUUAUUUCAAAGAGGGUGAACCAUACCUGCGUACUGCCCAUGGAACCAUGAUAAACUGGUGGGAUGGUACAGGACAAUUUGCCAUGUAUCUGAUCCUCAUAACACUCCUUGCUAACAGGAGGAGAUGCCAUGAAGUGUGCCUGUACUGGGUCGGGUCUAUAGGAAACAGUAUGAUUGUUUUACUGCUUGGUGGUGCAACUGGUACAUUCAAGGUCCGGGGGUCUUACUUUCUAAACAUUCCUUAUGUUGUUAUACCUAUCUGGGCAGGUGUUCGCUGCCUUCGACAGUCCAACAAAACCAGAAGCCAGCAACGGUUAAUAUGUAAAUCAGGAUAUGAGCUCAGUUUGUUAAACCGACCAUGGGACUUUGUCUUUAUUGUGCUUUUUGUCCUGGCUAUCGCAUUCUCCCUGUUUAGAGGAGUGGUAGCCCUAGGCUUGGACCAUGAUUAUGUCAAGGCUUACCUAAAGAAUUACGAGCCCUACCUCAAUGACCCAAAUAUGUUUUCAAAAAUACAGAUGGUGACCUACCUGUUUUACUUUGUACCAUACUAUGUGUCGGCCAUAUACAGCCUGGUUAACCCCGGAGAGACCUGGAUGUCUGACUGGGCAAUUCUGAAUGCUGGAGCAGCAGCUCAGAGCCAAGUGGUUCAUAUCUUUGCAUCAUUCCACUGGCGUACGGUGGCAUCAGGAUUUGGCUCCCCAACUGACGUGUUUAACAGUCCUGGGCAGGUUUUCUGGUACACCAACCUUCUGCUUCUGGUUGUGCCACAGCUGUUUGCCUGGCGUUGCUACACUGAUCAAGAAUUUUUCUUCAGUGUGUAUGAUGGUAGCAUUACCUCUGACAGAUCUGGCCGUGUGAAGUAUGCCGAUGUGGCCACCUUCUCCGAGGUGACCACGAAGAAAAACUCCACUAUGACUAAUUUAGUGGAUGGUGUUGUGACCUCUACAACCCAGGUCGAGGGUCGAGUGACCAGAAGCAUGAAAAAAAUGUCAUAAUGAUAAUGUGUCACAGAGUAAAAGCUCUAUUGAAAUGACAGUUUGCAUAAAGAAACAAAAAUAUGUGGCACAACACAUAAACAAAUAUCGUACAAUCUUUUUUGAUAGCAUUACUAAUUUUAUAGAAUUUUGCAAUAAUGAUACAAAAUGUAUAUUUUUUGAAGAGAUUAGAUAAAUUGUUGCAUUAUUUUUGUAAUUUAAGGUACAUGUUCCUGGAAAGUCUUUUUGUCUGUAGCCAUAUUUAUUUAUAUACAAUGUAUAUGCCAUAGUUUAGGUCGAAGAAGGUGACAAAUGAACCUCACUUUCAAUCCUAACAUAAAUCGAGGACAUCCCUGUUAAGGCCUAGAGUAUCAAUGUUUGGCCAGUAGCUUGACAAGUCUUUUUAAGAAAGAUGGCAAUAACCUUCCCAAGGUCCUAUAAGCAUUACACAUCAAAAUCUUUUAACAAAGAUUCAUAUUAAGGUUUAGAGUACCCAGGUAAUUAUAUUAAGGUUUAGAGUACCCAGGUAAUUAUAUUAAGGUUCAGAGUACCCAGGUAAUUGUAUUAAGGUUCAGAGUACCCAGGUAAUUAUAUUAAGGUUUAGAGUACCCAGGUAAUUAUAUUAAGCCUGUAGCGUAAACGUACUUGGCUAUAUAUUUUUUUUUAAAUAAGUCUGACCUUGACCUACUUUGAAGGUCAAAGAUAUGUGUGCAAACAGAAUUGAAAAGCAGUUGUGCCAUACAGACCUAAUUGGCCAUUUGUUGUUUUUCAUUUUAUUUAUCUUUUUUUAUGUGACCCAUUUUGGAUGUACUUUACUUUUUAUGCUAAAAUCUACAGGAUAAAAUUUUAGUGCAAAUAAGAAAAAUUUACAAAAAUUGUACUGCUAUUGUAAGAAUUCUUGAAAAUACCAAAUCAAAAUUACAUUGACUGUGGUUGAUCAGGAGCGUGUCUGUGUUAUUUGGAAUAAUUUCUACCCGAAGUGGAAUAGAUAUUGUGUUCGGGGCAGAUAUGGAUCAGCCCAAAAUAUAACAUUGGAUCUAAGUUUGGAAAAUCUUCUGCAGAAUUUUUUCAGGUGUGGCGAACAAUUAUUUAGGCAUUUAUUAUCCACAAGAGGGAUAGAGGAAUGUAAAAUAGCCCAUAUCUUAUUCAAAGAUAUCUUAAAUUACCUUGUAUGUUAACAUGCCACUUCCAGUGUGCUUAGCUUCGAGUUUUCCCAAUUUCCAGAGAUCUCAACUUCUCAAAAUUACCAUGUAACUUCCCUGAGUGUAAUGAUGUUGUCUUCUCAUAUGUGUAAUGCUAUUACAUAUAGUUGGUAAAACUUAGAGUCAAAAUGAUAAAAUAUUAUGACAAAUGAAAUCCAUGGACUAAGUGGCUUUGAAUCAUGUUGUGAUAAUACAUAAGGAUGAGAUCUGUGUGUCCUUACACCUUGUAUGUCUAUAUAUACCUGUGUGUCCUUACAUCUUGUGUGUCUAUAGAUACCAGUGUGCCCUUACAUCUUGUGUGUCUAUAUUUAUCUGUGUGUCCUUACAUCUUGUGUGUCUAUAGAUAUCUGUGUGUCAUAUUUAUACAGUAACAAGUAUUAUAUUCUAAAAUAAACUACUGCAGCAGAGGGAAUUCUUUUUUCAUUUUUGAUAUAACUUUUAUUUGUCAAGAUUUUUUAUGAUAGUUUAUUCUUUACUGACACUUUUUACAUGUUUACUAUUUUACAUUUUUAUACUUUUCUUGAAUUAUUUUCUUCAUAUUGGAAGGACAUUAAUGUAAUAAUUGAAAUCAUGCUCAGUCUUUUGAUGAAGGGGGGGGAUGUCUGUCCCACCCUACAUGUAUCCCCUCGCAUUCCUAUUCAGUGUCAUCACUCUGGUGACUACAUCUCUUAACAGAUGCUGAUCAACCUUUAUACAAAGGUCAAGCACAAAUAUACCCUAAAGAGAAUUUGUAUUUUAAGGUUCCAAAGUCAAAACUAAAGGUUAUCUUUACUCUGAAAUUGUUAAACCACUUCUGUAACAUAUAGCAACAGUAAUUUCAUUUCUGAAUGGAUUUUUAUCAAAUUUUAUACAAAGAUCAAGGAUACUUUGAAUAGAUUUGUGCAGUAUAUCAGGGUUCCAAGGUCAAAUCAAAGGUCUGAAAUACUUUAAAUGUAUUUUAUGCCCCUCUUUAUACAGACCUAUAGCUCCUUGUUCAUUUUUGAAACGUCUUUUUUUAAUAUGGUCAAAGGGAGGUCAUCCCCCUUUUUUGUGUUCUUUAAAAAAAAAAUAAGCCAUAUUAAAGCACCUUGUCAUAUUCUGUCUGCUUAUGAAGUAAAAUACAGUUUGGUUUCCUAUUCCAGCACAUGCUAGAAAUUUUUCAUGAUUAAGAAGUAUGACUGUUUUAUAAUAAGUCUAAUUGGAUGCUACAUGACUUAUGAUAGGCGCACAUUAAUGUUUUACCCCCUGCGAUACUGUUGCUAUGUACAUAAUGUAUCAGGUAAUAGAGGUUAGAAUUUUUGUUUUAGAGAGUCAUUUUUUUAUCCUCAAUUCAACUUUUAUGAGGCAUAUUUAAAAUUGUUACCUUUUAUAAUCAUUGGUAAUUGUGUACAUGGUGAUUUAAAUAUGCCUAUUUUGUGUUAAUUUCACAUUGAUUAAAUUUUUUAUCAAUGCAAAAAUUAAAAAUAUAUAUAUAUAUUGUUAUAGGUUUUGUUUAUUAAACCACAAAAGCAUGCACUAAUAUAUACUGUAAUUGUUUAACAUAACUGUUUUUUUAAUAUGCACACUUUCUAGACUCGGGUAAUCUCCUUUUUUCUGUUUUGAACACAAUGACAAUCUAAUCAUACAAAAGUGGUGUAUUGUUAACUUUACUUUUUGUACUUGGAAAUUUUACAAGUAAACCAUUUUGUUUCAUAUUUAUAAUAAAACUGGUGUGGUAAACUA